GAUGAACGCUGGCGGCGUGCUUAACACAUGCAAGUCGAACGAUGAAGCCCAGCUUGCUGGGUGGAUUAGUGGCGAACGGGUGAGUAACACGUGAGUAACCAGCCCUUGACUCUGGGAUAAGCCUGGGAACCUGGGUCUAAUACUGGAUAUGACUUCUCAUCGCAUGGUGGGGGGUGGAAAGAUUUAUUGGUCUUGGAUGGACUCGCGGCCUAUCAGCUUGUUGGUGAGGUAAUGGCUCACCAAGGCGACGACGGGUAGCCGGCCUGAGAGGGUGACCGGCCACACUGGGACUGAGACACGGCCCAGACUCCUACGGGAGGCAGCAGUGGGGAAUAUUGCACAAUGGGCGCAAGCCUGAUGCAGCGACGCCGCGUGAGGGAUGACGGCCUUCGGGUUGUAAACCUCUUUCAGUAGGGAAGAAGCGAGAGUGACGGUACCUGCAGAAGAAGCGCCGGCUAACUACGUG
rnacentral:rRNA from 1 species